UACAGAGGGUGCAAACGUUGCUCGGAAUCAUUGGGCGUAAAGCGCACGUAGGCGGCCCAGCAAGCGGGGAGUGAAAGCCCUCGGCUUAACCGAGGAAGUGCUUUCCGAACUACUGGGCUUGAAUACUGGAGAGGGUCGCGGAAUUCCCGGUGUAGAGGUGAAAUUCGUAGAUAUGGGGAGGAACACCGGUGGCGAAGGCGGCCAUCUGGACGGUAACUGACGCUGAGACGCGAAAGCGUGGGGAGCAAACAGG
rnacentral:rRNA from 1 species